rnacentral:rRNA from 1 species
GACGACCUGACGCACCCACGCCGCGUGUGUGAAGAAGGCCUUCGGAUUGUAAAGCCCUUUCGUCAGGGACGAAAGGGCGGGGGUCGAUAGCCCUUGUGCUUGACGGUACCCGUGAAAGAAGCCCCGGCUAACUCCGUGCCAGCAGCCGCGGUAAUACAGAGGGGGCAAGCGUUAUUCGGAAUUAUUGGGCGUAAAGGGCGCGUAGGCGGUUUCUUAAGUUAGAUGUGAAAUCCCCGAGCUCAACCUGGGAACUGCAUUUGAAACGGGCAGGUUAAAUCUCGGAAAAGGGGGGAGAAAUUCCUGGGGUACGGAGAAAUUGCUUAAAAUUUAGGAGAAACCCCGGGGGCAAAGGGGGCCCCCGGGACAGUACCGGACCCCAAGGGCCAAAACUGGGGGUGCCAAACAGGAUUAGAUACCCCGGUACCCCCCGCUGUAACCAAUGUCCACUUGAGGCGGAGGGAGUUAACCCCGUCUGCGCCAGAGCUCACGUGUUAACUGCUCCGCCGGGGGAGUACCGUCGCGGUGAUG